UUUUAAUAGUUUGGUUCACUUUGCAGCACAAACCACAACUUUUGACAGGAUCAAAAAAUGCUAAGACUAUGCGAGAAGCAAAAAAUACUGCACUGUCGGCCAAAAAACUUUUCGCAGAAACUAAAAACCAGGUACCCACUUAGCCGAUUAUA